GACGGACGGUGACUUCACGGUCUGACACGUCAGUUAGAAAUAGCUAGCUACAAAUUGCGCAAAAAAUUGCGCAAGAAAAGGAAAGUAGACAAUGACCGUAGGGUGUUCCAGCAAGAGUAGACAUUGAAAUAUGUCUUUAUUGAGGAAUCAGGGAAAGCUGUGUGCUUACUAUGCAAAGAGAGCAUCGGUCUUGAAAGACUACAACUUGUCCCGACACUUCCAGACGAAGCAUGCAGAGAAAUAUAGGAGUAUAUCUUCUGAGCAGAGCGCAAGUGCAUCGAAAGAGUUGCUUUCUCAGUUACAAAAGCAGCAAGGACUUUUCACAAAACUGCAUUCAGCAAACAACGGAAUCGCGAGAGCUAGCUAUGUACUGUCCCACAAAAUUGCUAAACAUAGCAAACCAUUCGCUGAGGGCGAAUUCAUUAAACAAUGUUUAAUUGACUGCAGCAAUACUUUGCCCCGACAUGAAACAGCAUGUUGAGGUGACACGGCGUGUUGAGGACAUCGCAGAGAAUAUGGAACAACCGUUGAAAGACAUGUGGUCACUGGUGGGUCAGAUGGGAUAGGGAAGGCUUACGCCUUUGAGCUGGCAGGACGUGGGCUGAACGUGGUGAUCCUGAGCAGAACCAAGGACAAACUGGACCGGGUGGCACUGGAGAUAGGAGAAACCACGGGUCAGAAAGUGAAAGUGAUCGUAGCUGAUUUCACUGAGGAUGACAUGUAUGAACACAUUGAGGAGAACCUGAAAGGCUUAAAUAUCAGUGUAUUAGUGAACAACGUGGGGAUUCUGCCUAGUCAUAUUCCCUGCAAGUUCCUGCAGACUAAGGACCUGGAACAGAGAAUUACAAAAGUGAUCAACUGCAAUGUGAAAGCCUUGGUCAAGAUGUGCCAAAUAGUCCUGCCAGGGAUGGAGAAGAGAGGGAAGGGAGUGAUCGUGAACAUCUCCUCUGGUGUGGCCAGUGUUCCCUCCCCCAUGUACACCAUGUACUGUGCGUCAAAGGCUAGUACAGACCUGCUAUCUCUUUCUAAGCACCGGAUGAUCAGUCGGUUGUACGCGAUGCUUCUGGAAUAAGUCGUUUGUAUAAUAAAAGUGAUCUCAAUGUUUCUGCCUUGCUGUCUUUGUACAGGUGUUUGUGGAGAGGUUCUCUCAAGGUCUGCAGGCUGAAUAUAAAGCUAAAAGAGUCAUGAUACAGGUGCAGUGAUGCAUCAGGGUGCAUGGAUCUAUUUUACAUUCAUAUAAAAGGGGGAGGGCCCUCAAAUCGUUUGUACAUGUAUUGACUGUGCAUGUUGGCUUAUUCAUCCCCCUGUCUCACCUGUAACUAUUCCCCAGGUCAUUGCUGUAAAUCAGAAUGUUCUCUCAGUCAACUUACCUGGUAAAAUAAGGGUAGAAUAAAUACAUGCUAAUUGUAUUCAUUGGUUUGUACAGCAAUGUGAAUGUGAAUUCAGGAGGUGAGCUAAAUCAAGAAUUGAAAAAUCGUAAGGGAAAUAAAUGGCAUUUUACUAUUCUUGAAUUUUAAGGUAAAUUCACUUCCCCACUUGCGUGAAUUGAAAUGGAACUGGCCUCAACACUGUCUACUCUAUAUGUCUGCUUUACUCUGUUUCUCUCCUGUGUCUCUGUGUCCAGGCAGUGGCUCCAUUUGGGGUGUCCACCCCAAUGACGGGCUACCAGAAGUCCAACAUGGUGACCCUGACAGCGGAAGACUUUGUCAGGACAUCCCUGGAGUACCUCCAAGCCGGGGACAAGACCUACGGCAGCAUCUGUCACACAGUACUGGGUUGGAUGGUACAGGCUGUUCCUCAGCAGAUCCUCCACAGUGAGACCAUGCAGGACAGUCUACUGGAGUAUGUGAAGAAAAGAGUGGGGACAUAGGUCAUAGGAGAUCAACACAUGCACUAUGUUAUCAUCAUGUACUGUAUGCAUGUCUGUAAAUAAGAUAUGAUGCCUUUUAAAUAACCUUUUCACAUGUAUGUAUUUCUAAAACAAGAGGACUGUAAAAGGCAUUUUUAACUCAUACUUCUAGUAAGUUGAACUCAAAAUCAAUGUUUAUGUGAUACUGACUGAAAAUGAGAAGUCACACCAACCUUUCCCAGCAUGCUCUGCUGUGGGUCGAUAUUUUGGAAUCUGUGUUUUUUAAUGUACAUUGAGUGAUUGAUUAAUCUUAUACUACACAAAGAUAAAUAACAUUUUUAUAAACUAAUCCAAUAA